AGUGAACGUUGGCGGCGUGGAUUAGGCAUGCAAGUCGAGCGAGAACCGUAGCAAUACGGGGACAGCGGCGAAAGGGACAGUAAUGUGUAGGUACCUACCUCCGGGUUCGGGAUAGCUGCGGGAAACUGCAGGUAAUACCGAAUAACGUCUCCGGACCAAAGGUGUGAUUCCACCUGGAGAGGGGCCUUCGUCCUAUUAGCUUGUUGGCGGGGUAACGGCCCACCAAGGCGACGAUGGGUAGCGGGUGUGAGAGGACGACCCGCGUCAUUGGGACUGAGACACUGCCCAGACACCUACGGGUGGCUGCAGUCGUGAAUCUUCGGCAAUGGGCGCAAGCCUGACCGAGCGACGCCGCGUGCGGGAUGAAGGCCUUCGGGUUGUAAACCGCUGUCGUAGAGGAGGAAAUGCAGGGGGGUUCUCCCCUCUGUUUGACCUAUUCUAGGAGGAAGUACGGGCUAAGUUCGUGCCAGCCGCCGCGGUAA
rnacentral:rRNA from 1 species